rnacentral:tRNA from 1 species
GCCCGCGUAGCUCAAUUGGCAGAGCGCAGCAUUCGUAAUGCUGAGGUUGUGGGUUCGACUCCCACCGCAGGCUC